AUUGAACGCUGGCGGCAUGCCUUACACAUGCAAGUCGAACGGUAACGGGCCUUCGGGUGCCGACGAGUGGCGAACGGGUGAGUAAUGCAUCGGAACGUGCCCAGUCGUGGGGGAUAACGCAGCGAAAGUUGCGCUAAUACCGCAUACGAUCUAUGGAUGAAAGCGGGGGACCGUAAGGCCUCGCGCGAUUGGAGCGGCCGAUGUCAGAUUAGGUAGUUGGUGGGGUAAAGGCUCACCAAGCCGACGAUCUGUAGCUGGUCUGAGAGGACGACCAGCCACACUGGGACUGAGACACGGCCCAGACUCCUACGGGAGGCAGCAGUGGGGAAUUUUGGACAAUGGGCGCAAGCCUGAUCCAGCAAUGCCGCGUGCAGGAAGAAGGCCUUCGGGUUGUAAACUGCUUUUGUACGGAACGAAACGGUCCUGGUUAAUACCCGGGGCUAAUGACGGUACCGUAAGAAUAAGCACCGGCUAACUACGUGCCAGCAGCCGCCGUAAUAC
rnacentral:rRNA from 1 species